GACGGGGGUUCCAAGCGUUGUUCGGAAUUAUUGGGCGUAAAGCGUGUGCAGGUGGCUUUAUAAGUUAGAUGUGAAAGCCCCGGGCUCAACCCGGGAAGUGCAUUUAAAACUGUAGAGCUUGAGUAUGGAAGAGGGUCGUGGAAUUCCAGGUGUAGUGGUGAAAUACGUAGAUAUCUGGAGGAACACCGGCGGCGAAGGCGGCGGCCUGGUCCAAUACUGACACUCAUACACGAAAGCGUGGGGAUCAAACAGG
rnacentral:rRNA from 1 species